AGCUUGGAAGGACUAAGAAGGAAGAUAAAACCUGUUAAGAAUCUGAGAAUGGAAGCUACAUCAAGAUCUUUAUUUAGAAGCCUGAAGAACCGAAAGGAUCACAAAAUCAUACGUGUGCAAUUAAAUAAAGACAGUGGCGUGCUGUAAAGAAACACAGACACAGACUAUUACAGAAAGCUGUGAAGGUGCCAACCAUAAGUCACCAUGGAGUCCCCAUCCAUCAGUGGACGUCUACAGCACCACACUUAUUCCCAAGGAAAAAGUCACAGAAGAGGGUACAGGAAGGUGCUAAGAGACAGGGGACUGGGAGGACCGCUGUAAAAUAGUGUCUUCUGGGCAUGACUGGGAUGGUGUGCCCAUAACUUUUGAGCAGUAUGAUUGCUUGCAGUGGACCAUGCCCGUCCUCAAUAACCAGCUUGGGCAAGGAAAAGCUCACAAGGCCCCACCACUAGUUGAGGAGCCAUAGGCUGUCAAUGGCUGCUGGGAAAGGGAGGAGGAGUUUUCUCCAGGAGUGAGACCCCCUUAUAGGUUGAUCACAUCCAUGUAGUCAGCCUUGUAUUACAUAUGGG